rnacentral:lncRNA from 1 species
AGUAUAGAAAUGAACAGGAUACACUGAAGUCCCUUCUAUCUUGUAUCAUUUUGUGCUCUGAUUUGGGGGGGGUUCAUUUUUUAUGCAAUAAAAAUGUGAUUGACUACUGUGUGCUGGCUUUUGUUCGAGCUGUCAGUUCAUUAGCACUUCCAACUAGAGUGGGAAGAAGCAGAGAACUGGAUAAAGCUCACGUCCACUAGUUUUGAGCUGUUUAGCAUUCCUAGUUCGGAGACAAAUUUGGUGGGAAAAGACUUGGAUGAGACUUAUUUGUCCAACUCUUUUUCUAUACCCCAUGUAAUUAUUAAACUGUAUGUGUGUAUAU